rnacentral:rRNA from 1 species
UACGAAGGGUGCAAGCGUUAAUCGGAAUUACUGGGCGUAAAGGGUGCGUAGGCGGUUGUUUAAGUCUGUCGUGAAAUCCCCGGGCUCAACCUGGGAAUGGCGAUGGAAGCUGGGCAGCUAGAGUGUGUCAGAGGAUGGUGGAAUUCCCGGUGUAGCGGUGAAAUGCGUAGAGAUCGGGAGGAACAUCAGUGGCGAAGGCGGCCAUCUGGGACAACACUGACGCUGAAGCACGAAAGCGUGGGGAGCAAACAGG